CCUCUUACAACUAUUUGGUGACUAAACGUACUGUUGGCACUGGGGGUGUGUCCAACUGCAGAAUUAGCUCUGGGAGGCCCCACAACUUGGGCUGGGGGUGCUCCGGUAUGUGGGAACACCCUCCACGCAAGCUGCCCUUUGCAUCCGUGACCUGCAAUGGUUUCUGUCCCCAGAAUGGGGAUCAGGGACAGGGACAGGUCCAGAGAGGAGGCUGCUCUGGACCUUGGGAAAGCAAUGCCUGUCUGCAAGUGUUUACAGGGAUGCUUUCCCUAAUUAACAUUGUUUCAGUUCACUGCCUCCUCUGUUCUCUGCAGGAAAUAGAAAGCUUGCUUUAGCAUCCAGGAAAUAGAAAAUGUGACUAAAGCCUCCUUGUGACUCUGGCGCCGACUUCCAGGUUUGACUGAGUAACCAAAAGGUCUCUGCUGCCUGGAUUAUUUGCUGAUGUCUCCAAGGGAAGAAGAUACACAGACAGAGCUGGGCUGGGUUUCUUGUCUGAAGAGCUGCUCCCACUCCCAGCUCCACUGUGAGCUACGUGUGUGACCUCAGGGAGAUGUGUCAGCAAACCCAGACUCUGUUUCCUCACUGUAAAGAGAAGGUUAAAAGCCUCUACUGUUGGAUGAUUGCGAGGUUAGGUGAGACAUCAUGUGCAAAAUCACUCUGUAAACUGUGAAGUGCUGUGCCAGUGGUAGUAAUUACUCUUCGUCAUCCCUAGAGUCGGUUUUUCAGCUCACCUGUUUCCUUCAUUGCCUGGCAGCUUUCCUACCUGGGGCAUGUGACUAGGACUGAAAUGCUAGGGAGCCCAGAAAAUCUACUUCCCAGCAAGAGCUGUAAAACAUCCCAUCCUAAUUGAGAGAGACAAAGGAGAACAAUGAGUCAGAGGAGCUCCAGGGGAGCGGCCCGCUCCGACAAGAGGCUUUGCUGAGGCUCCUCUGGCCUUACAACGUCUUACAUGGGUGUGCCAGGGAAUGAAGGCGAGCAGACCCGUGGAAAUCGAUUUGGAACCGGAUCAAUCCCAUCCUCGACUUUGCCAUCCCUCUCUCAGAAUUAUAAACAUAAGAUGAUUACAGCACACUUCCUGCAUGUGCCUUCCAUGUGGCUCCAGUGUCAGCCUCACAAACGCAGGCGAGUAAACACUCCUGGUGCAGCUCUGAGGCCUCGCCCCUCUGGUUUGCUCUUGAGCAGGGAGAGGCUGGGAGGAUGGGCCCCGGGGUACGUCUGCCCUGGGAGGUACCAGCCUUCUCCCUUCUGGUGGCAGAGGAGUCAUCCUGCCUUCAGGGCUUUGCAUGUUGGGGUGGCAUUGGGGAGCUACAAAGGAGGCUGGGAAAUGUUUUCUUUUCUUUCUUUCUUUUUAAAAAAAUCUCUUUCGCUCCAGCCCAUUCCUGGAAAACCACAAUCCCCCCGCCUCCCCCAAGCAGUCUCCAAGUCCUUCAGUUUUGAAAAACACACAUUUUCUCUGCUACCCCUUGCUCCUGUGGAUGUUUCGAGCCACAAUUACUUUUCAGUGUAAAUGAGUAUGAGGCUGAGGCUUUCCUUAAUGUGUUAGGAUGCCAGGCCCCUGUGGUUUGACACCACCAAAAUAGACAAAUUGUUAACUUGAUGGUUUUUCGGCAAUUUUCUCCCCUCUCCCGGAUCUCAAAUGAAUCUCAUUCCUAAGGAACUGACCAAGGAACUCUGACCUCUUGCCUCAACUGCUUAAAGGCCUCUAGUACUUUUUUUCCUUGGCCUGCUACUCUCUUGAUAUCAGAAGGUGAACUGAACUUCAAAGGGCAAUAGGCCAGAUGUCUUGUUUCCCCCACGAAGGGCUGGUUUCCUCUCAUUUGUCUGCAUUCCAUGUGCGUGAUUUCAGGUUGGUAUCCAUUUCGCCUGGGCCCCCACUCUGCAGGGCAGUGACUUGGGUUAUUUGCUGGUCCUGAUGCUGCAGGGAUUUGACAAAGUUCCGUUAUCCAUGCUGCUUGGUGUGAGUGUGUGCAUGCAUGUGUGUGUUCUCCGGCAGCACCAGCAGCCCCUGGGGCCGGCACUCUAGUUUAGCAGCCACAAUUCAUUCACACGGUUCAUGUUGAUUCAUACUGAGUGCUUGAAAUAUGGCUUGUGAAUUAAGAUGUGCUUUCAGCAAAAUAUACACUCAAAGAUUUAGUAUGAAAAAUAAAAUGUAAAAUAUCUCAAUAAUUCUUAUAUGG
rnacentral:lncRNA from 12 species